AUGCGAAGCUCCCAAACGCGAAACCCCAAGGGCAGGACGCGCAUCGCUGCGGGGGCCUGGCAGGAGCCAAGGAGGUGGAAUCUGUGGCUGCCCGCGGAACCCUGUCCGCGGACCCCUGCCCUAGGCACCGCGCCCCUCCGCCGCCCCGACCCCUGCCCGCGGCGCUACGCCCCCUCCGCCGCCCGUCGGCCACCCCGCACUCACCGAUCCAGGCUGCCGGCUGGCCGGGUCGCAGGCCAGCGACAUGAGAUCUUUGAGCGGGUCCUGAGGGUUGAGAUGCGGCGGGUAGCGGAUGGCCGUGUGCGGGAAGUAGGUGGACGCCAUCUGCUGCAGGAUGGACGUGGUGGGGAAGUGCAGGGCGGAGGACGGAUGCGGCGGGUAGCGGAUGGCCGUGUGCGGGAAGUAGGUGGACGCCAUCUGCUGCAGGAUGGACGUGGUGGGGAAGUGCAGGGCGGAGGACGGGUGCGGACUCCGGACGAUGCCUACGCGGCGGGGCGGUGAGCGCGGGGCUUGGGCCCAGCGCUCCGCCCUGGCCCCGGUCCCGCUCCGCGCCUGUGUGUGCGCUCUGCCCCAAGCCUCUGGCCCCGGCCCCGCGCCGGUGUGCGCGCUCUGCCCCAAGCCCCUGGCCCCGGCCCCGCGCCGGUGUGCGCGCUCUGCCCCUGGCCCCCGCCCAGCCCCGCGCUCACGGCUGUGCACGGCGAUCACGGGCUAGUGGUGCUGCGUGAAGCUGCACAGGCGCGGCGAGUCCUGGGGCGAGGGGCUGUUGAAUGGCGACUUGUCCAUCUCCGUCUUUUUCAUGGGCGACAAGAUGCCUGCGCGGGGCGGGGACGCCGCUGAGCCGCGAAGAGCCCCAGGCCCCCGCCCGCGUGAACGCAGCCUCGCACGUCUGCUGCUCACUCCCCAGCCGCCGGCUUCAGCUGGGAGCUCCGCUCCCUCGGGUCUCCCCAAGGGCGCGGCGACUACAGCCCGAAGCCGCCCCCGGCCCGCCCUGUGGGGCCCCAGGGUCUGUGCCCCAAGCCCGCCCUGCAUACUCCCUUCUGUCCUUGGCCGCCUCCCCCUCCCCAGGCAGGGGCCUGCCCGCCGCCCCCCACACCGCCCUCCGCUGGGAGGGGCGUCACUGGGACUUCUCCGGGGCCCAGGCCAGCUGGGCUAAGGGCUGAGCCACUCCCGGGGGUCUCAUGGCCCACCUGGUGCCACCGCCUGGGGGUCUGGGGUUCCCUGGGGGGGGGACCCUAGGGGAGAGGAAGCUGGGCUGGCCCUGCAGACUGCGCGUGUGCACCCGUGUGUGCAUCCGUGUGUGCGUGCGUGUACCUGUGUGCACCCGUGUGCAUCCUUGUGUGUAUCCGUGUGUUCACCCGUGUAUGCAUGUGCACCUGUGCGUGUGUGUGUACCCGUGUGCAUGCGUGUGUACCUGUGUGUGUGUGUGUGUGUGCAUGUAUGUGUGCGGACGCUUGCUCACAGGAUCUCCCAGCAGAGUUACCCCAAGUGGAAGCCACGCCAGGAACCCAAGGGGUCGGACUAGGGCUGGGGGAGCUGGGCAGGGCGGGGGGACGAGGAGGGCGGGGCGGGGUUGGGGGGGCGGCGCAGGCUGGAGCGAGCCUGUGGUCCUCAGAGUUGACUAAGGGGAGUGGCAGGAAAUGGCUCCUCUGAACCUUCCUGGAACUGCUGGGGUGCAAGGCUAGGGUCCUGGAGGCCUGGGUGGGACGGCCAAGGGGCCGGGACCAACGCCCCCUCCCUCGUGCGUUUCUCGCUCAAGCUUCCUGCGCCUUUAUUCCCAGUUCCCCCUUCCCCAUUGAACAGGACGCCGGCUAGAAUUCUCUCGGGAGGGCUUCGCCUGCAUCCCAGCUCUGCUCACCUGGGCCCUGCGCCCGCAUGGGGGACCUGGAUGGAGAUCCUGGCUCCUGGGUGCAGCCUGCCCCACCCCGGCCUUGUUGGCCAUCUGGGGAGUGACCCAGUGGGUAGAGGACCCCUCUCUCUCUCCCUCCCUCUCUUGUUAUCUCAUUAAAUAGAUAAAUAAACCUUAAAAAAAAAGGUUUAUAUUUGUCA
ensembl:lncRNA